rnacentral:misc_RNA from 1 species
GCAAAGCACGUGUUCCGCGUGUUUGACCAGAAUGCCGACGGGAAGCUGGACUUCCGUGAGUUUGUGUGCGGCUUCAGCAUCGUGUUAAGGGGACGUAUGGAGGACAAACUCAAGUUCAGCUUCCAGAUGUACGACAUCAAUGGGAAUGGAUUCAUCUCCCGCGAAGAAAUGUUGGAGGUUCUCGCGGCGAUGUACAAAGUGGAAUCGUCCCUGUCCAACGUCCUUGACCGUGAAGAUCCAGAGGAAAGAACAGAUUCUAUUUUUAACCAAAUGGACCUUAAUUGUGAUGAUAAACUUUCUUUAGAGGAAUUUAUUGAAGGAGUGAAAAAGGACCCCCGCCUCGUCAAACUGAUGGACAUUUCAUAACAAGGCAGCCGUCUGCGUUGAUUUUCUUCAGCAGUGUUUUGACAUUCGCAAAUGUUUAGUCAGUUCGCAUUUUUUAUUUUAUAUAUGUAUGAUUUCAUACAUUAUCACAUGCAUUUCCUGUUUUGAUUGUGUCCCCCAACUGAGAGAAUAUCCAAAAUUAACGUUUUUCGUUUGGCAAAAAGUAUUCAGAGGAAAUAAGUCCAUUCAUUCAAAUACAUAGUAUCGGCUAUCAAAAGAGACCAUAUUUUGAUGUUAUCUCACAACCUUUGUAAAUAAAUACACCUUUAAUGU